rnacentral:rRNA from 1 species
GCUCAGGAUGAACGCUGGCGGCGUGCUUAACACAUGCAAGUCGAACGAAGCACUUUACCUGAUUUCCUUCGGGGAUGAUUGUUCUGUGACUGAGUGGCGGACGGGUGAGUAACGCGUGGAUAACCUGCCUCACACAGGGGGAUAACAGUUGGAAACGGCUGCUAAUACCGCAUAAGCGCACAGCACCGCAUGGUGCAGUGUGAAAACUCCGGUGGUGUGAGAUGGAUCCGCGUCUGAUUAGCUAGUUGGCGGGGUAACGGCCCACCAAGGCGACGAUCAGUAGCCGGCCUGAGAGGGCGACCGGCCACAUUGGGACUGAGACACGGCCCAGACUCCUACGGGAGGCAGCAGUA